rnacentral:rRNA from 1 species
GCUAAAAACCUAACCCAAAUCUUAAUAUGAAACCUAACUUUUUAACUAAUUUAUUAAAGCAUUCUAUAGUUACAGUAAAGGCGAUCGAAAUAUCUUUUGGAGUGAUAUUUACAGUACCGCAAGGGAACAGUGAAAUAAAAAUGAAAUAACUAUAAAGCACCUAACAGUAGAGAUUCCCCCUCGUACCUUUUGCAUCAUGAUUUAACUAGUUUAUCCAAGCAGAAAGCACUAAAGUUUGCCCCCCCGAAACUAAGCGAGCUACUUCAAGGCAGUCUCAAGAACUAACCCGUCUCUGUUGCAAAAGAGUGGGAAGACCUUCAAGUAGAGGUGACAGACCUAACGAGCUUAGUGAUAGCUGGUUACUUAAGAAAAGGAUCUUAGUCCUCCCCAAAUUUUCUUCAAUGUUUAUAAAUAAAAACUAAAAUUUGGAGUUAUUCAAAUAAGGUACAGCCUAUUUGAACCAGGAUACAACCUCCACAAACGGGUAAUUAACCCCCUAUGCAGCAAAGUAGGCCUAAAAGCAGCCAUCUUCAAAAAGCGUCAAAGCUUACCUACAAAUUUCACUAAUCCCCCUAAUUCUUAAAACCCCUUAAUCUUUAUUAAGUAACUCUAUAAAAUUAUAGUAUUUAUUAUGUUAAAACUAGUAACGAGAAUCAGAACUUCUCUUUAAUGUAAGUGUUAGUCAGAAUGGACAAACCACUGACUUUUAACAUUUGAAACCAAAGUAACAACUUACCAAGAAAAUCUUACCUCAAAUAGUGUUAACCUGACACAAGAACAUUCUCAGACAGAUUGAAAGGAAAAGAAGGAACUCGGCAAACAUUAACCCCGCCUGUUUACCAAAAACAUCGCCUCUUGACAAACAUAUAAGAGGUCCAGCCUGCCCAGUGACUCUGUUCAACGGCCGCGGUAUCCUAACCGUGCGAAGGUAGCGUAAUCACUUGUUCUUUAAAUGAGGACUAGUAUGAAUGGCAUUACGAGGGUUAUACUGUCUCCUUUUCCCAAUCAGUGAAACUAAUCUCCUCGUGAAGAAGCGAGGAUGAGUAUAUAAGACGAGAAGACCCUAUGGAGCUUAAAACUUUCAGCAAUUAUCUUUUCUACAACAACCUUAAGGUUUUUACACCAACUCUAAUAAUAUGCCCGUCAGUUUUCGGUUGGGGUGACCGCGGAGUAAAACUCACCCUCCGCAACGAAUAUUAACAAUUAAGCAAAAAACUACAAUUUUAUGCAUCAAAAAAUUGACAGUAUUGACCCAACAGUUUGAUCAACGAACCAAGUUACCCUAGGGAUAACAGCGCAAUCCAUCUCAAGAGCUCAUAUCGACAGAUGGGUUUACGACCUCGAUGUUGGAUCAGGGUAUCCCAGUGGUGCAGCCGCUACUAAAGGUUUGUUUGUUCAACAAUUAAAACCCU